AACUCGGUGGCGCAACGGUAGCGUGUCUGACUCCAGAUCAGAAGACUGCGUGUUCAAUUCGCGUCCGGGUCA